rnacentral:lncRNA from 1 species
CCCUGACGGUACCCGACAGUACAGAACAAUCCAAACGCUACUGUAAAACGAGCUCGGCCCCGCAGCACGAGCGUAAACUCAACCUACACUAAUCUGAGUAUCCACUAUGCACUAACAACGGUGAUAUAAAAGAACAACAGCUCCUGAAACUAAUUCGGUUCACUUUUCGAAAAGUGACAGUGUAGGUUUAACGAGUUUUCUCCUAAGUCAAAUCUUAGUUCAGCAUAUAUAACUUCAUCUAAAAUCUCUAAAUUAUUUUCCAAAUUCAAAUUUCAUAUAAAACAUACAAAUUUAUGAAUUCGAGCAACUAAACAUGAUAAACAAAGCCAAUAAUACAUGCUGACAAUUUUAUGACUUAGAAGAAAAUCCGACGAUUUCGGUAAACAUUAACCCACCUCGAACGCUCGUCCAACAUCGGCUA